UGAAACAGCACCCCAGUUCAAGGGUGAGAAAGGAGUAGAUGACUUGCAUGCAUGGCUUGGACAGGCAAAACUGUGGUUUGUCAGAGUUUCUCUCAUGUGCAAAGGAAAUCCAAAUGUGACUGAGGCUGACAUUGUGCAAAUAUUCAGCUUGCUAGCAUUUGAAGAGGACACGCCUGCAAGAUUCUGGUAUGAGGCCAACCAAGAUCGCCUGUUUCAAAAGCCACCUGAUGGCAAA
rnacentral:lncRNA from 1 species